GAUGAACGCUGGCGGCGUGCCUAAUACAUGCAAGUCGAGCGAACGGACGAGAAGCUUGCUUUUCUGAUGUUAGCGGCGGACGGGUGAGUAACACGUGGAUAACCUACCUAUAAGACUGGGAUAACUUCGGGAAACCGGAGCUAAUACCGGAUCAUAUUUUGAACCGCAUGGUUCAAAAGUGAAAGACGGUCUUGCUGUCACAUAUAGAUGGAUCCGCGCUGCAUUAGCUAGUUGGUAAGGUAACGGCUUACCAAGGCAACGAUGCAUAGCCGACCUGAGAGGGUGAUCGGCCACACUGGAACUGAGACACGGUCCAGACUCCUACGGGAGGCAGCAGUAGGGAAUCUUCCGCAAAGGGCGAAAGCCUGACGGAGCAACGCCGCGUGAGUGAUGAAGGUCUUCGGAUCGUAAAACUCUGUUAUUAGGGAAGAACAUAUGUGUAAGUAACUGUGCACAUUUUGACGGUACCUAAUCAGAAAGCCACGGCUAACUACGUG
rnacentral:rRNA from 1 species